rnacentral:rRNA from 1 species
CCAGACUCCUACGGGAGGCAGCAGUGGGGGAUAUUGCACAAUGGGGGAACCCUGAUGCAGCGACGCCGCGUGGGUGAAGGAGUAUUUCGGUAUGUAAAGCCCUAUCAGCAGGGAAGAACAAUGACGGUACCUGACUAAGAAGCACCGGCUAAAUACGUGCCAGCAGCCGCGGUAAUACGUAUGGUGCAAGCGUUAUCCGGAUUUACUGGGUGUAAAGGGAGCGCAGGCGGCGCGUUAAGCCUGGUGUGAAAGCCCGCGGCCCAACCGCGGGACUGCAUUGGGAACUGGCGCGCUGGAGUGCGGGAGGGGCAGGCGGAAUUCCUAGUGUAGCGGUGAAAUGCGUAGAUAUUAGGAGGAACACCGGCGGCGAAGGCGGCCUGCUGGACCGAAACUGACGUUGAGGCUCGAAAGCGUGGGGAGCAAACAGGAUUAGAUACCCGCGUACC